rnacentral:tRNA from 1 species
UAGCUCAGUCAGUAGAGCGUAGCGCUAACAAUGCUAAGGUCGUGGAUUGGAUUCCCAU